rnacentral:ncRNA from 1 species
GCGGUUCCGGUUCCCGCCUCGACGAGCCCGUCGAGACGACCCGGCGACC